AAACUAACAGAUUUACUUCGGUAAUGACGUUAGGAAAGCGAGCGGCGGAUGGGUGAGUAACACGUGGGGAACCUGCCCCAUAGUCUGGGAUACCACUUGGAAACAGGUGCUAAUACCGGAUAAGAAAGCAGAUCGCAUGAUCAGCUUUUAAAAGGCGGCGUAAGCUGUCGCUAUGGGAUGGCCCCGCGGUGCAUUAGCUAGUUGGUAAGGUAAAGGCUUACCAAGGCGAUGAUGCAUAGCCGAGUUGAGAGACUGAUCGGCCACAUUGGGAUUGAGACACGGCCCAAACUCCUACGGGAGGCAGCAGUAGGGAAUCUUCCACAAUGGACGCAAGUCUGAUGGAGCAACGCCGCGUGAGUGAAGAAGGUUUUCGGAUCGUAAAGCUCUGUUGUUGGUGAA
rnacentral:rRNA from 1 species